UACCAGCACCCCGAGUGGUCGGGACGUUUAUUGGGCCUAAAGCAUCCGUAGCCGGUUUUACAAGUCUUCCGUUAAAUCCAACUGCUUAACAGGUGGGCUGCGGAAGAUACUAUAGAGCUAGGAGGCGGGAGAGGCAAGCGGUACUCGAUGGGUAGGGGUAAAAUCCGUUGAUCCAUUGAAGACCACCAGUGGCGAAGGCGGCUUGGCAGAACGCGCUCGACGGUGAGGGAUGAAAGCCGGGGGAGCAAACCGG
rnacentral:rRNA from 1 species